rnacentral:lncRNA from 1 species
AAUUGUUACUUUCAAAAAAUCUUGCUUCAAAUCAAAGAAAGAAGGUCUAUUUUCCCACGUAGUUCGUCGGUCAAACCAACGAUUCUCUUCUCAAAGUAAUAGAGAGAGUCUUUUUCUAGUUAGACUUCUAUCAAUGGAAUGAAAGAACCAUCCCUUCCUAUUUCUUUGUUUGUCCUGUCAGAUAGAAAGCAAAUUAGACCCCAAAGAGCCCUUCUUUACUUUACUACUUUAGGGGGUGGGGGUGAAGGGGGGUUUACAUAGAACCGAGGCAAAGUGGUUUACGAUUGAAUCUCAGAGGCAUUCUUAUCAUUUGGUAGAUCCAAGUCCAUGGCCUAUUUCGGGUUCACUCGGAGUUUCGGCAACAAUCGUAGGAGGUGUGAUGUACAUGCACUCAUUUCAAAGGGGUGCAAAACUUCUCAGUUUGGGCGUCAUAUUUAUCCUAUAUACCAUGUCCGUAUGGUGGCGCGAUGUUCUACGUGAAUCCGCGUUCGAAGGACAUCAUACCAAAGUCGUACAAUUAGGACCUCGAUAUGGUUUUAAUCUGUUUAUCGUAUCGGAGGUUAUGUUCUUUUUUGCUCUUUUUCGGGCUACUUCUCAUUCUUCUUUGCACCUACGGUAGAUAUCGGAGAUAUUUGGCCCCCAAAGGGGAUUGCGGUUUUAGAUCCUUGAGAAAUCCCUUUUCUUAAUACCCUUAUUCUCCUUUCAUCCGGAGCUGCCAUAACUUGGGCUCAUCAUGUUAUACUCGCGGGGAAGGAAAAACGAGCAGUUUACACUUUAGUAGCUACCGUUUCACUGGCUCUAGUAUUCACAUGCUUUCAAGGAAUGGAAUAUUAUCAAGUACCCUUCACUAUUUCGGAUAGUAUUUAUGGUUCUACCUUUUUCUUAGCAACUGGCUUUCAUGUGAUUAUAGGUACUAUUUUCUCGAUCAUAUGUGGUAUUCGCCAAUAUCUUGGUCAUCUGACCAAGGAGCAUCACGUUGGCUUUGAAGCAGCUGCAUGGUACUGGCAUUUUGUAGACGUGGUUCGGUUAUUUCUAUUUGUCUCUAUCUAUUGGUGGGGAGGUAUAUGAAGGAAGGAAUUAGUGAAUUGAGGAAUGAAAGCUUGAAGACAAAGAGAACCGGGCUUUUCCAAAGAAUUACUGCAGCUUUCCCACUCCCUUUGAUUAUCAUAUACAAAAAGGUCU